rnacentral:rRNA from 1 species
AUUGAACGCUGGCGGCAGGCUUAACACAUGCAAGUCGAGCGGGGAAAGGUAGCUUGCUACCUGACCUAGCGGCGGACGGGUGAGUAAUGCUUAGGAAUCUGCCUAUUAGUGGGGGACAACAUUCCGAAAGGAAUGCUAAUACCGCAUACGCCCUACGGGGGAAAGCAGGGGAUCUUCGGACCUUGCGCUAAUAGAUGAGCCUAAGUCAGAUUAGCUAGUUGGUGGGGUAAAGGCCUACCAAGGCGACGAUCUGUAGCGGGUCUGAGAGGAUGAACCGCCACACUGGGACUGAGACACGGCCCAGACUCCGACGAGAGGCAGCAGUGGGGAAUAUUGGACAAUGGGCGAAAGCCUGAUCCAGCCAUGCCGCGUGUGUGAAGAAGGCCUUUUGGUUGUAAAGCACUUUAAGCGAGGAGGAGGCUACUUGGAUUAAUACUCUAGGAUAGUGGACGUUACUCGCAGAAUAAGCACCGGCUAACUCUGUGCCAGCCGCCGCAGUAA